UCGGCGCCAGACAGACAGACACACACACACACACAAGGCAGCGAAGCGGGUGGAUCUUGUAAGUGCAGUGCUAUCACCACCACACCACACACCACACCACACCACCACACUGUCAUACACCACGGUAUCCUUGGCAUCCUGCCCCGCCUCAUCUCGCCCUGCCAAGCCCUGCCCCGCUCCGGCGCUGCUACGACUCAGACGUAAAGAAAAAGCCAGAAUUAACCACGAAAAUAGAUAAAUAAUCCCCCAGAUGGUUCAAAUAAGGCUUAAAUAAAGUGAUGGGUUGCAAACAUUCAUCAGAGUGCCCUUGAAACCAUGACGUCAUCAAGACCCAAACUCGGCGAGAUCUUCCCUCCUCCCUCACCCAUCGUAACAGGUAGAGGAGGAAGAGGAGGAGGAAGAAAAUGAAGAAGGAAAAAAAAGAGGAAGGAAGAAGAAAGAAGGAAGAAAGAAGAAGAAAGAAAAAGGAAGAGGAACAAAAACAGCAACAGCAGCAGCAGGCAUACAAAAAAAUGGCGUGGCGGGGCGGCCUCAACUUUCCGUGUGGUGGGGAAGGAAGGAGGGAAUUGGUCUGUGUUGGUGAUCUGGCGCCUUCCUUUCUCGGCCAAGUUAGUGGGUCUUCUCUCCCUCCUCGCUUCUAACCAACAACUCCACAACUUCUGCACGAGACGCCCAGCCAAGACUCUUCCUUCUCCUCCUAUUCCUCCUCCUCCUGCCACCACCCCUCGCUGCUCGUCUCUCCUAUUGAACUCUCGCGCGGUGAAAAUAAUGAGUGGUAUAAAUAUUCAGGUCGGUGAGAAUAAUUAAUGAAUGCGUGGGUACUGCCUUUCAUUUUUUUUUCUUUUUUUCUCUUUUUUUCUUCUGUUUUUUUGAGUGUUGUGCGUGGAAGUUUUCUUGAUAAAAGCUUCUGUCUGUAUGUAUGUAUGUCUUUUGUUAAUUUUUUUUCUCUCUCUCUCUCUCUCUCUCUCUCUCUCUCUCUCUCUCUCUCUCUCUCUCUCUCUCUCUCUCUCUCUCUCUCUCUCUCUCUCUCUCUCUCUCUCUCUGGUUGUUUUGCUUGUCUGUCCGUCUGUCUGUAUGUCUCCUCACUUUCUAAAUAAAAUGUGCGACCUACAUUCAAAUAAAAGUUCUCUCUCUCUCUCUCUCUCUCUCUCUCUCUCUCUCUCUCUCUCUCUCUCUCUCUCUCUCACAACUUAUGCCUCGCUAUAAAAGAAUAAUCUCACCGCAUAAAUUGUCUUUUUUCUUCACCUCUUCCUCUUUCUCCUCCUCAACUUCUUGCGCUUCCGCCUUUUUUCUCUCUUUCUCUCUCACUCCUUUCCUCCUCCAUCAUCAUCACCACCAACAACACCACCACUCCUACCACCCACACCACCACCACCACCACCAUCAGCUCCUCUUACUCCUCCUCCUCCUCAAAAUUCUCCAACAGUACCUCUUUUCUUUUCCCUUUCCUCCUCCUCUAAGUUCCCUCUCUUGUUUCGUCUCGUUCUUUCACGGUUUCAUUUCUUCCCCCUCCUCGCGUUCAAUACACUUGCACAAACAUUCCCUUGCUUCGCUUCCCGCAUCGACUCAACAAGUCCCGGAACUGACGCAAGCAAGAAUCACAGCAAGGAAUUUAACCUCACUGUGCUCUUUACUGUUCACUGCCCUUCGUUUUUUUUUUUUUUCUAUUUCAGUACCCUUUUUUCCGGUGUCAUUUUUUUUUUCUAAUCCAGUGGCGGCUUAAAUAUCUAUCUUUCUAGCUGCAUGUGUAUCUUUCCGCCUGAGUGUGGUGAGGCCUCCGCUCUGUAGUUCUGGCUGUUUUUUUUUUCUCUCUCUCUUUUCUAGCAAGAGCCGCGCCCGUGAUGAUUAGAAUGAAAGCAUUGCUGUAGUAUUUGCGCUUCUAAGAGAAAGAGUCGGGGGAACAAAAGAUUGGUAUUGUAUUCACUUAACUAUCCAUCCAUCUUCACUGAAACGGGUCUUGCUUAUACUUUGUUUUGUUAUUGUUGUUAUUAGCAUUGACUGUGAAAUUAGUAUUGUCAACGUGACGAGAAGAUUCGGAUAAGAUGUUGCUGCGGAUAAGAUGUUACUAUUAUUAUCACUAUUAUUAUUGCUACUAUUGUUAUCAUCAUCAUCAUCAUCAUCAUCAUCAUCAUCAUUGCCAUCAAAACAAUACACUACAAUGUAUUUUUACUGAGACUGUCAGAUGAUUAUCAGAAAGAAAACAAUGACUUGUUUCCAAGUACGAAGGAAAGACACCUGAUAAAAAUAAAGCUA